UACAGAGGUCUCAAGCGUUGUUCGGAUUCAUUGGCGUAAAGGGUGCGUAGGUGGCGCUGUAAGUCGGGUGUGAAAUUUCGGAGCUUAACUCCGAAACUGCAUUCGAUACUGCGGUGCUUGAGGACUGGAGAGGAGACUGGAAUUCAUGGUGUAGCAGUGAAAUGCGUAGAGAUCAUGAGGAAGACCAGUGGCGAAGGCGGGUCUCUGGACAGUUCCUGACACUGAGGCACGAAGGCCAGGGGAGCAAACGGG
rnacentral:rRNA from 1 species